GUGCCAGCAGCCGCGGUAAUACGGGGGAUGCAAGCGUUAUCCGGAAUUAUUGGGCGUAAAGCGUCCUGAGGUGGCUUACCCAGUCGACUGUGAAAGCUCAAGGCUUAACCUUGAAACAGCAGUCGAAACUUGUAAGCUUGAGUACGGUAGGGGCAGAGGGAAUUCCCGGAGGAGAGGUGAAAUUCGUAGAUAUCGGGAGGAAGGCCAAAGGCGAAAGCACUCUGCUGGGCCGAUUACUGACACUGACAGACGAAAGCUAGGGGAGCGAAAGGGAUUAGAUACCCCUGUAGUCCUAGCCGUAAACGAUCAGGACUUGGCGUGGGCCCCGUCCGGGGUCCGUGUCGUAGCCAACGUGAUAAGUCCUGCGCCUGGGGAGUACGGUCGCAAGGCUGAAACUCAAAUGAAUUGACGG
rnacentral:rRNA from 1 species